AAGUCGUAACAAGGUUUCCGUAGGUGAACCUGCGGAAGGAUCAUUACAAGCUAUCAGGGUAUCCAGCCCCUGAGGCUGGCAACGUGCCCGCUCACGCGGGCGCGGGUCGUCGCCCCAACGCCCCUCGCGGGUGCCGUGGUCGGCGGCUGCCGGCUUCUAGCACAACCCUCUGUGAACUCUACCUUUGUUGCUUUGGCGGGCCGCCGUUAGGCUCUCGGCCCCGCGCCGGGACGCGCCCGCCAGAGGACCCAACUCAUGUGUUUAGUGAUGUCUGAGUACUAUAUAAUAGUUAAAACUUUCAACAACGGAUCUCUUGGUUCUGGCAUCGAUGAAGAACGCAGCGAAAUGCGAUAAGUAAUGUGAAUUGCAGAAUUCAGUGAAUCAUCGAAUCUUUGAACGCACAUUGCGCCCCGUGGUAUUCCGCGGGGCAUGCCUGUUCGAGCGUCAUUAGACCAAAUCACGCCUGGCGUGGUCUUGNGGUCUGCCAUCUGGCAACCCUUAAACGCAGUGGCGGCGCCGUAGGGCUCUCAGCGUAGUAAACUUUCUCGCUGUGGGGUCCCCGCGGACGCUUGCCAGCAACCCUCAAUACUCUAGGUUGACCUCGGAUCAGGUAGGGAUACCCGCUGAACUUAAGCAUAUCAAUAAGCGGAGGAAAAGNAACCAACAGGGAUUGCCUCAGUAACGGCGAGUGAAGCGGCAACAGCUCAAAUUUGNAAUCUGGCUCCUUUCGGGGUCCGAGUUGUAAUUUGUAGAAGAUGCUUUGGGUGUGGCCCUGGUCUAAGUUCCUUGGANCAGGACGUCAUAGAGGGUGAGAAUCCCGUAUGUGACUGGGUGCCCACGCCCGUGUAAAGCUCUUUCGACGAGUCGAGUUGUUUGGGAAUGCAGCUCAAAAUGGGUGGUAAAUUUCAUCUAAAGCUAAAUAUUGGCCAGAGACCGAUAGCGCACAAGUAGAGUGAUCGAAAGAUGAAAAGCACUUUGGAAAGAGAGUUAAACAGUACGUGAAAUUGUUGAAAGGGAAGCGCUUGCAAUCAGACUUGCGCGCCGUUGAUCAUCCGGGGUUCUCCCCGGUGCACUCGGCGGCGCUCAGGCCAGCAUCGGUUCGGGUGGUGGGAUAAAGGCCUUGGGAAUGUAGCUCCUCUCGGGGAGUGUUAUAGCCCUCGGUGCCAUGCCGCCUACCUGGACCGAGGACCGCGCUUCGGCUAGGAUGCUGGCGUAAUGGUUGUAAGCGACC
rnacentral:rRNA from 1 species